rnacentral:rRNA from 1 species
GCAUGUGGCUUAAUUUGACUCAACGCAGGAAAUCUUACCGGGUCCGGACACACUGAGGAUUGACAGAUAAUAACGGGUUGGUUCUUCGGAACCGACUCGCAAAAAUAUGAUAGCUCUUUCAUAAUUAUGUGAUAGGUGGUGCAUGGCCGUUCUUAGUUCGUGGAGUGAUCUGUCUGCUUAAUUGCGUUUUCAUUAUGGCUGACUAUAGUAUGUGUAUUUAUAUGCUCUCGCGGUAUGUAAAUCACGUCUGUCGGCUUUGAAAUGCAACGAACGUGACCGCAACCUCUUGUUGCACCUUAGCUGCUCAAGGUGCUCAACUAGAGGGACCGCUGUAUUUUUUCUUUUAGCCAGAGGAAGGAUGCGGCAAUAACAGGUCUGUGAUGCCCUCAGAUGUCCCGGGCUGCACACGUGCUACAAUGAUCAUUGCACUGCGCAUCUUCUUUUAUGUUUACACUGUCGUGUGCGAUAAUGAUUCGCUUCACAGUGGUCGUAUCAAACACACAGUACACACACCCGUGUCGACAGGCUACUACACUCGGGUAACCCAUUAGAAGUAAUGAUUUCCAUAUGCACACAAUCAUACGUAUGAACGCUGAACACUCCGGUGUCUCAAUGUUCGUACGCAUGUGCGAUUGUCAAUUCAUGGUGGGGACAGACCAUUGAUAAUUGUUGGUCUCGGUCU